GGGAUAUGAGGAGUGGUCGGCUCUCGCUACGUUACUGCGAGUUGGGUGUCCGCCCCAAGCCUGGUUACGACAACCUGGGCACUCUCCCUUUAACCCAUCUGAUCCC